CAGAACAUAACAGUAUUUUAAUUAUACAUUUUGACAGGUGCCAUUGCCCCAGCAUUGGACCAGGAGGUAACAAACCUUUGCCAAAAUCAACCUUUUGGUCUCAUGUGUGACAAGAGUACCAACAGAAGCGCAGAGAAGGAGUUCGUGAUAUUGGCCAGAGUUUUUGAUGAGGAAACUCAAGAGGUGGUCACCAAGUUCCUGCAUAUGCCAGUAUGCAACAUUGGAACAGCAGAGCACCUAUUUAGGUCCCUGACCACAGUGCUAAGUGAGAGAAACAUUGACUGGCACAACAUGGUGGCCUUUAACAGUGAUAACGCCAGUGUAAUGAAAGGGAGGUGUAACACUGUGGCCAGUCGGAUCAAAGAGAUUCAGCCAUACCUAAUCGACAUAGGUUGUAUUUGUCAUCUGGUCCAGCUGGAAGCACGAUGUGGCAUCAAAGCUCUCCACCAGCCUAUUGAAGAGGUCUUAAGCAGCAUAUAUGCUCACUUUGACAUCAGUGCCAAGUGAUGUGAGCUCUACAAGGAGUUUGUUCAGUUCAUAGAUUCAGAGACUCUGAAGCUUCUCAGGUACUGUGCAACGAGGUGGCUCAGCCUGCUGUCUUACAUAAACCAUGUGCUCAACCAGUGGAAUGCACUGCAGGCAUAUUUUGACAGUCACGAGGAUGUGGAGAAGCCUGGCAAGGUGAAGAUGCUGGCAGGCCAUUUAGCCAGCAAGGAGACAAAGUUCUUCUUCCUCUUCCUCUCCCAGGCUCUGAAACCACUGGCAGAUUUCAAUGUUGCGUUUCAGGCUGAAGGGGUGAUGGUACAUAGGCUGCACAAGGAGAUGACCAGCCUGGUAAGAAGAUGCCUGGGAAGAUUUCUCCCAGCCCACCUUAUUGCUGAUGCCAAAAGUUGCCAGAUGAAGACCUCUUUCUUGGAGAGGCUUCACAAAGAUACUUGAGGACAACAUGGAUGACCUUUCCUCUUCAGUCCCAAGGAUGUUUAACCAGAUUACUGAACUCAGACAUUCGGUGCUACUGCAACCAAAGUAUGAGUUAAAAACAUAGACGCAUUGUUUUAGUUUCAUUAGUAGGCAAUGUACGACAACUAUGCCGAAUACGGAGUUUCGCAGCACCGCCAUUGUCGCUCUGGUCAUUCAUUUAACACGCACCCCCUCUCUGCAGUCUCAUCUACAACUACACCCCCCACCCAUGACAUAAUGGACAAUAUUUUCUAUCUUGGCAUUUCAAAAAUAUUCUUUCACUGCUCAAAAAUCGUAUUCCGUCAUAGCAACCAGAUAAACCCAAUAAUAGCCCUGAGAUAUGCCAAUACAGCAGUGAAAACGCUUCUCACUGAAUAACGAAAUAAACAAGAAAAUGUUUUUUAAAAUGAUACCAUGUCAUUCUACAGUCAAUAUCUGGGACUAAUAUUGAAUAAAUAUACAACCUUACUGUUG